rnacentral:rRNA from 1 species
GGGUAGUUUGACUGGGGCGGUCUCCUCCUAAAGAGUAACGGAGGAGCACGAAGGUUGGCUAAUCCUGGUCGGACAUCAGGAGGUUAGUGCAAUGGCAUAAGCCAGCUUGACUGCGAGCGUGACGGCGCGAGCAGGUGCGAAAGCAGGUCAUAGUGAUCCGGUGGUUCUGAAUGGAAGGGCCAUCGCUCAACGGAUAAAAGGUACUCCGGGGAUAACAGGCUGAUACCGCCCAAGAGUUCAUAUCGACGGCGGUGUUUGGCACCUCGAUGUCGGCUCAUCACAUCCUGGGGCUGAAGUAGGUCCCAAGGGUAUGGCUGUUCGCCAUUUAAAGUGGUACGCGAGCUGGGUUUAGAACGUCGUGAGACAGUUCGGUCCCUAUCUGCCGUGGGCGCUGGAGAACUGAGGGGGGCUGCUCCUAGUACGAGAGGACCGGAGUGGACGCAUCACUGGUGUUCGGGUUGUCAUGCCAAUGGCACUGCCCGGUAGCUAAAUGCGGAAGAGAUAAGUGCUGAAAGCAUCUAAGCACGAAACUUGCCCCGAGAUGAGUUCUCCCUGACCCUUUAAGGGUCCUGAAGGAACGUUGAAGACGACGACGUUGAUAGGCCGGGUGUGUAAGCGCAGCGAUGCGUUGAGCUAACCGGUACUAAUGAA